AGUUCGAUUCUGUCAGAAUGAACGCUGGCGGGAUCGCUACACAUGCAGUCGAACAGCCGGCACGGACUUCGGUCUGGUGGCGAGUGGCGAACGGGUGGUAAUGUAUCGGAACGUGCCUAGUAGCGGGGGAUAACUACGCGGCGUAAUAAUACCGCAUACGCCCUUCGGGGGAAAGCGGGGGACCUUCGGGCCUCGCACUGUUAAGGAAGCGGCCGAUAUCGGAUUAGCUAGUUGGUGGGGUAACGGCUCACCAAGGCGACGAUCCGUAGCUGGUUUGAGAGGACGACCAGCCACACUGGGACUGAGACACGGCCCAGACUCCUACGGGAGGCAGCAGUGGGGAAUUUUGGACAAUGGGGGGAACCCUGAUCCAGCCAUCCCGCGUGUGCGAUGAAGGCCUUCGGGUUGUAAAGCACUUUUGGCAGGAAAAGAAACGGCACGGGAUAAUACCCCGUGCAACUGACAGCCUGCAGGGUAACUUUGGGCCACAUUUUAACUACCGAGCUAGAGUGUGUCAGAGGGGUGGAAUUCCGCGUGUAGCAGUGAAAUGCGUAGAUAUGCGGAGGAACACCGAUGGCGAAGAGCAGCCUCCUGGGAUAACACUGGCGCUCGCCGCACGAAGCGUGGGAGCAAACAGGAUUAGAUACCCUGGUAGUCCACGCCCUAAACGAUGUCAACUAGCUGUUGGGGCCUUCGGGCCUUGGUAGCGCAGCUAACGCGUGAAGUUGACCGCCUGGGAGUACGGUCGCAAGAUUAAAACUCAAAGGAAUUGACGGGGACCCGCACAAGCGGUGGAUGAUGUGGAUUAAUUCGAUGCAACGCGAAAAACCUUACCUACUCGGCAUGUCUGGAAUCCCGAAGAGAUUUGGGAGUGCUCGCAAGAGAACCGGAACACAGGUGCUGCAUGGCUGUCGUCAGCUCGUGUCGUGAGAUGUUGGGUUAAGUCCCGCAACGAGCGCAACCCUUGUCAUUAGUUGCUACGAAGGGCACUCUAAUGAGACUGCCGGUGACAAACCGGAGGAAGGUGGGGAUGACGUCAAGUCCUCAUGGCACUUAUGGGUAGGGCUACACGUCAUACAAUGGUCGGGACAGAGGGUCGCCAACCCGCGAGGGGGAGCCAAUCCCAGAAACCCGAUCGUAGUCCGGAUCGCAGUCUGCAACUCGACUGCGUGAAGUCGGAAUCGCUAGUAAUCGCGGAUCAGCAUGUCGCGGUGAAUACGUUCCCGGGUCUUGUACACACGCCCGUCACACCAUGGGAGUGGGUUUACCAGAAGUAGUUAGCCUAACCGUAAGGAGGCGAUUACCACGGUAGGAUUCAUGACUGGGGUGGUCGUAACAAGGUAG
rnacentral:rRNA from 1 species